AUAGCCUAAAAUACUCUAAAGGCAUCAGAUACCAUUGAAUCUUCGAAGCUAAGUAGAGUUGGCACUGGCUAAUACAGGGAGGGAAGACCAGCAAUACAUAUCUGGUGCUGUAGGUUAUA
rnacentral:rRNA from 11 species